ACCAUGUGGAAAGUGCUAACAUAAGAGUUCAGAAAAUAAGCUGAGUAUAGGAUGUACUAAGUAAAUACACAAAUAAGAUCCUAUUCACAGAAUCAACAAGGAAAUGAUAAUAAUUAACAAGGAUAAUCUACAAGAAGUUAUUUAAAACAAUUUGAAAAAUUUUAGGAAAAAAACAAAACUUUUUAAGUCCCUGUUUCUGAAUGAGGAGUCAAAUAUUUGUUCUUCCAGCUUAUAGUUUUAUUGUAAUUAUCAAAAUCCCAGAUUAUAAAAAUUUUUCAUUAAUAAUCAUUAAUAUUAAUAAAAUGUUAUUUUAAAAUACAUUUUUUAAAACUUCACAGAACUUAGGCGAAAGCAGAAUUUUUAAAAAGAAGAUAUUAAAACUAUCAAAUAUUAAAAUACAUUAUAAAACUACAAAAAACAAAAUAGUGUGGUACUGGUAUAAAAGUCAAUGGAUGGGUUGAAACUAAAAUAUGUAGCCUAGAAACAAAUAACAGUACAUAAAAUAGUAUAUAAGGAAAAGUAGCAUCUCAAAUUAGGGGAGAAAGGGAAUAUUAGUCAAUAGUGCCAAGACAGUUGGUUUAAUAUGUGGUUAAAAAUAAGAGGCAAGUUUGUCUUUUUAUAUCUUCCAUGUAUCAAAAGAAAUUACAGAUAGUGUAAAAAAUGAAAAAAAUUAGUAGAAAUUUUAGACAAAUACUUUCAGCUCUCAGAAUUUCCUAUAUAUUUCAAAAGCAGGAAACAUAAAGGAAAAGAUUUAGAGAUUUGAUCUCUUAUAAAUGUCAAAUGUAAUGAAAGAAUUCUGUCAAAUGUCUCUUGAUUUAAUAAAAUGGGGGAAAAUUACAAAGGGAAAAUAACAAAGAUCCGUUUCCUUGAUUUAUAGGAUGUUCUUUUAGAUCUAUAAGGAAAAGAUAAGCAAUCUAACAGAGAGGAAAAAAAUAGGCAAAGGCUAUUAACAGGCAGUUAUCAGGAAAAGAAAUACAAAUGGCUGGUAAAUUUGUAAAGAUGUUCAACCUUAUUAUAUUCAAGGGUCACAAUUCAAAAUACCUGUGAAAUUAGUUUCAACACAUCAGAUUGAUAAAACCUACAAUGCUGGGCCCCCAAUGUUUAGAAGGGUUUGGAGCAAUAGGACUUUUCAGUACUGUCAAUGGGAAUGUAAAUUGCUUAUCCUCUGGGGUGUGCAAUUUGGCUUAUCUAUUAAAAAACUUUUGUAAUACACUUUCCCAAUCUCAGCAAUUCCACUGCUAGGAAUCUACCUGCUGGGUAUAGGUGCAAAAGUUCAAGAUAUGUUUGCAAGGAUGUUCAUAAGAUUUAGCAGGACACAAGAUAAUGCAAUCCUAAUUUUGAGGGUGUGUGUGCAUGCAAACAUAUGUGUAUAAAUUGAAGGAAUUCAAAGCAAAGUAACUAUCAAUUUUAGAUUCUCCAAGGGACUGAGACUAGACUCAAUCUCUGUUUUUGCUGAAUUUCCUCUAAUUAGGUAAUACCUUUAUAAUCAGAAAAAAAAGAAACACUGCUUUUAGAAAAAAAACUAUUUUCAGCACUUGGAGAUCACCUCGUUCUACACCCCAUCCUUCACCUCCCUUUCCCCCAGCGCUUCCCCUAAGAACAGUGAAGGAAUGAAUGCCUUUAAGGGUCCUCCUCUCUUCCCCCUCUGGCCUGAGUCACUUGCCAGACAUGCUAUUAUGCCUAGGUUAUUCAUCAAUUAACUGUGAGGUGACCUGAGACUAACCUUCGUACUUCCCAGAGGCAUGUGUAUUCCUAGCCGAUCCCAGGGCCUUUACGAGCCAAGGAGCUCACAUGUAGAGACAGGUGGAACUGAACAGCAUCCCCUCAGAUGUCAGCAGUGCCAAGAAAUUAAGACACCAGUACGAGGAACACCAGAAACAGAAGGUGGUGGUUCUAAGGAGUGUUCCACCCAUGGGAGGCCCAGCACUUCCCUGUGAUACACCUUGCUCCAAGGUUGCUGAAGCACAUGUGCCUAAUUUCAUUUUUGAUGAGUUCAGAACAGUCCUUUGAGUUUGAUUUCUACUUCUUCAAUGAAAGGAUUGUCCUUCUACUACCACUAAAAUGAAUUCAGAAAUGAAAAGAAACUCAAUGGCCCAUAGAAACUGCAUUUUUUCCCUUCAUUGUGGGAAACAUCAGACAUUCUGGGUAAGAUGUAUCUCACCGCACUAGUUAAUAUAAUUGUUUAAAUCAUGGUGUUAUAUACAAUUUAUAUCAUGUAGAAGCAGAACAUAUUUCUGUACUGCCUCUUAUAAAUGCUGAAUGUAAUUGUUAUGUAUAAAUCCAUUUAGUUUUAUGUUCUAAAGAACUAUUUGUGCAACUCCAGAUUUUCAGUAAAAUAAUAUUGCCAGUA